rnacentral:rRNA from 1 species
AUUCCAGCUCCAAUAGCGUAUAUUAAAGUUGUUGCAGUUAAAAAGCUCGUAGUUGGACAUGUGCAGUCUCUAGCUGUCCAUAUUGCUUGGUACGGUCUAGGGGGUGCAUCCUUGGGUGGAAUCUGCGUGGCAUUAGGUUGUCGUGCAGAAGAUGCCCAUCGUUUACUGUGAAAAAAUUAGAGUGUUCAAAGCAGGCUUACGCCGUUGAAUAUAUUAGCAUGGAAUAAUAAGAUAGGACUUUUGUGCUAUUUUGUUGGUUUGCGCACUGAGGUAAUGAUUAACAGGGACAGUUGGGGGUAUUCGUAUUCCAUUGUCAGAGGUGAAAUUCUUGGAUUUCUGGAAGACGAACUACUGCGAAAGCAUUUACCAAGGAUGUUUUC